rnacentral:rRNA from 1 species
UUGCUACCCGCUGACGAGCGGCGGACGGGUGAGUAAUGCAUAGGAAUCUGCCCGAUAGUGGGGGAUAACCUGGGGAAACCCAGGCUAAUACCGCAUACGUCCUACGGGAGAAAGGGGGCUCCGGCUCCCGCUAUUGGAUGAGCCUAUGUCGGAUUAGCUAGUUGGUGAGGUAAAGGCUCACCAAGGCGACGAUCCGUAGCUGGUCUGAGAGGAUGAUCAGCCACAUCGGGACUGAGACACGGCCCGAACUCCUACGGGAGGCAGCAGUGGGGAAUAUUGGACAAUGGGGGAAACCCUGAUCCAGCCAUGCCGCGUGUGUGAAGAAGGCCCUCGGGUUGUAAAGCACUUUCAGCGAGGAAGAACGCCUAU